rnacentral:tRNA from 12 species
GGGCCGUUAGCUCAGUUGGUCAGAGCAGAGGACUCAUAAUCCUUUGGUCAUUGGUUCAAGUCCAAUACGGCCUACCA